rnacentral:rRNA from 1 species
AUUGAACGCUGGCGGCAGGCUUAACACAUGCAAGUCGAGCGGGGGAAGGUAGCUUGCUACCGGACCUAGCGGCGGACGGGUGAGUAAUGCUUAGGAAUCUGCCUAUUAGUGGGGGACAACAUCUCGAAAGGGAUGCUAAUACCGCAUACGUCCUACGGGAGAAAGCAGGGGAUCUUCGGACCUUGCGCUAAUAGAUGAGCCUAAGUCGGAUUAGCUAGUUGGUGGGGUAAAGGCCUACCAAGGCGACGAUCUGUAGCGGGUCUGAGAGGAUGGACCGCCACACUGGGACUGAGACACGGCCCAGACUCCUACGGGAGGCAGCAGUGGGGAAUAUUGGACAAUGGGGGGAACCCUGAUCCAGCCAUGCCGCGUGUGUGAAGAAGGCCUUAUGGUUGUAAAGCACUUUAAGCGAGGAGGAGGCUACUUUAGUUAAUACCUAGAGAUAGUGGACGUUACUCGCAGAAUAAGCACCGGCUAACUCUGUGCCAGCAGCCGCCGUAA